rnacentral:rRNA from 1 species
ACCCGCUGAACUUAAGCAUAUCAGUAAGCGGAGGAAAAGAAACUAACUAGGAUUCCCCGAGUAGCGGCGAGCGAAAGGGGAGAAGCCCAGCGCUGAAGCCCGCGGCCUCCGGUCGCGGUGCAAUGUGGCGUUUCGGCGGCGUCUUGCCGCGCCGGCUCCGGCACGCGUACCUCUGAAUGGGUCUGCCCGCAGCGGGUGUCAGGCCUCUAGGUGCCAGGUGAGCCGACGCGGCCCGGCGUCCGUCGCGGAGUCGGGUUGCUUGAGAGUGCAGCCCAAAGUGGGUGGUAAGCUCCAUCUAAGGCUAAAUACCUAGUGCGAGACCGAUAGCAAACAAGUACCGUGAGGGAAAGUUGCAAAGAACUUUGAAAAGAGAGUUCAAGAGUACGUGAAACCGUUCAGAGGCAAACGGACGGAACUGGGCGAGUUCGCCGCCGCCAUUCAGCCGCGCGCCCGCGCGCGGUGCACUUGGCGGCGGCGGAGCGCGACGACCGCCUGUCGGGUCGUCUGAAGCCCGGCGGCAAGGUGGCGACGCGCUCGCGCGUCGUGUUACAGGCCGCCGCGGCGUCGGCAGACCUGGCGGGCGAGGAGCGCCCGCGGUGCCCUCUCGCCCCUCGGGGCGGGAGCGGCCCGCGCGCUGGGCUUGCGGCCGUCGGCGGCGAACUGCUCGCAGUUUGCCGCUUGGCGCGUCGCUCGUCUCGGCGCGCGGUGCCGCGGGCACCCGGGGUCCGGGUCGUGUGGUUCCUGGCACUCCGUCCGACCCGUCUUGAAACACGGACCAAGGAGUUGAGCACGCGCGCGAGUCGAUGGGCUCUCGAGAACCCCAGUGGCGCAGCUAAGGCAAAACGGGCGUGAUCCGGCACUGGCGUGCCGGCGCAACGCCGGCCCGCAGCCGACUCGUUGCGAGUGGCUGCGGUGCAAGAGCGUGCGUGCUCAGACCCGAAAGGUGGUGAACUAUGCUUGAGCAGGGCGAAGCCAGAGGAAACUCUGGUGGAGGCUCGCAGCGAUCCUGACGUGCAAAUCGGUCGUCAAACUUGAGCAUAGGGGCGAAAGACUAAUCGAACCGCCUAGUAGCUGGUUCCCUCCGAAGUUUCCCUCAGGAUAGCUGGCACUCGGGAUAAAUGGUUUUAUCCGGUAAAGCGAAUGAUUAGAGGCAUUGGGGACGAAACGUCCUCAACCUAUUCUCAAACUUUAAAUGGGUAAGAGGCGCGACCCUUCCUGAUACGGGGUCGCGUGCUUGAACAGAGAGUGCCCAGUGGGCCGUUUUUGGUAAGCAGAACUGGCGCUGUGGGAUGAACCAAACGCGCGGUUAGGGUGCCUAACGCACGCUCAUGAGACACCACAAAAGGUGUUGGUUGAUAUAGACAGCAGGACGGUGGCCAUGGAAGUCGGAAUCCGCUAAGGAGUGUGUAACAACUCACCUGCCGAAUCAACUAGCCCUGAAAAUGGAUGGCGCUGGAGCGUGCGACCCAUACCGCGCCGUCGGGGCAACGCGUGCGAAAUGCCAGGCCCCGACGAGUAGGAGGGCGCGUCGGUGGCGUUGAAGCGUAGUGCGUGGGCACGCGUGGAGCCGCCUUCGGUGCAGAUCUUGGUGGUAGUAGCAAGUAUACAAAUGAGAACUUUGUAGACCGAAGUGGAGAAGGGUUCCAUGUGAACAGCAGUUGGACAUGGGUCAGUCGGCCCUAAGAGAUCGGAAAAUUCCGUUCUGAACGGGGAGAGAGGUGGUGGUCGGAGCCGUCCGGGCCGGUGUGGCCCGGCGCGCCGUCAAAGGUUGGCUGGCCGCGCGAUGCCAGCGCGCUCGGACUUUGGCGUCCGGAGAGCGACUUUCAGAGCAGGAGUCGCGUCGUGCGUCGAGCGGUUUGUGUGCAGCGCGCCGUCAAAGCAGGGUAAUCCGAUGUGUGACGGAAGCGCGGCAGCGCGCCACAACCGAGCGACGCGGCCGACGCGGCCGCCGGCGCCCCUGUCGUAGCGGGGGACCCCCUGUCGUAGCGGGGGGAUAGUGCUGGCGGCCGCGAGCGGCGGCGACGCGGCGACAUAGCUGCCGCCUAGUUCUCCGCGACGUUGCCACACGCCCGCCUCCUUCCUUGAGGAGAGGAGAGAGCGGGCGAUGGAUACCCGAACAAGGUACAGUUGCAAAAACGAGAGCGCGCUGAAGGCGCGGCCGGCGGCUGGGCGCCCGGCCGGACGGUCGACCGCGCACUCGGGAAGGUGUCCCCGAUGCGAUCGAAAGGGAAUCGGGUUAAUAUUCCCGAACCUGGCAGUGGAGAUUGGGCCCUCGGGCCCCAGUGCGGUAACGCAACCGAACUCGGAGACGCCAGCGUCGAUCCCGGGAAGAGUUCUCUUUUCUUUGUUAGGAGCGGACUCCCUGGAAUUGGCUUGUCCAGAGAUAGGGACGUUGCAUCCGUAAAGCGUCGCGCCUCACGCGGCGUCCGGUGCAUCGGCGCUGGCCCUUGAAAAUCCGAGGAAGGCAGUGUAAUUUUCACUCCAGGCCGUACCCGAAUCC